GACGAACGCUGGCGGCGUGCCUAAUACAUGCAAGUAGAACGCAGUUGCGAACGGGUGAGUAACGCGUAGGUAACUGCCUGGUAGCGGGGGAUAACUAUUGGACACGAUAGCUAAUACCGCAUCCUACCAGAUGGACCUGCGUUGUAUUAGCUAGUUGGUGGGGUAACGACUCACCAAGGCAACGAUACAUAGCCGAGCGGAGAGGGUGAGCAGCAAGAAUGGGAAAUAGACACGGGCCAGAGUCCGACGGGAUGCAGAAGUAGGGAAUAUUCGGAAAUGGGGGGAAACCUGACCGAGCAACGCAGCGUGAGAGAGGAAGGUUUUCGGAUCGUAAAGCUCGGUUGUUAAGGAAGCGGUACUGAACCAGAAAGAGACGGCGAACUACGUGCCAGCAGCCUCGGUAAUAC
rnacentral:rRNA from 1 species